UUGUGGUGGAGAAGUGCUACGACCUCCUCGUCUCGGUCGGCGAUGAUGGGAAGCGACACCGCAAGCCAUGAUCUUGUCACCGUGGGAGCUGCAUUGGUGCCCCCACACGGUCGUUUCAGCCUUUCUUGGGAGGCUGCUUUAGCAGGAGGAGCCUGUGAGCGCAGCAGAUCUGGUGGCCCGCAAGACCUCCGCCGACCACUCCGCCCCGACAAUCUAGAUCUAUAUAUUUGGUCUGUUCUCUUUCAUUCGUUUCCUCCCUCUCAGCCUCAAUUGCGCACCUCCCACAGGCGUCCUCGUGGUGGUAGA
rnacentral:misc_RNA from 1 species